AUUGAACGCUGGCGGCAUGCCUUACACAUGCAAGUCGAACGGCAGCACGGGUGCUUGCACCUGGUGGCGAGUGGCGAACGGGUGAGUAAUACAUCGGAACGUACCUUAUCGUGGGGGAUAACGCAGCGAAAGCUGUGCUAAUACCGCAUACGCCCUGAGGGGGAAAGCGGGGGAUCGCAAGACCUCGCGCGAUUAGAGCGGCCGAUGCCUGAUUAGCUUGUUGGUGAGGUAAAAGCCCACCAAGGCGACGAUCAGUAGCUGGUCUGGGAGGACGAUCAGCCACACUGGGACUGAGACACGGCCCAGACUCCUACGGGAGGCAGCAGUGGGGAAUUUUGGACAAUGGGGGCAACCCUGAUCCAGCAAUGCCGCGUGAGUGAAGAAGGCCUUCGGGUUGUAAAGCUCUUUUGUCAGGGAAGAAACACCGGCUCUAACACAGUCCGGGAAUGACGGUACCUGAAGAAUAAGCACCGGCUAACUACGUGCCAGCAGCCGCGGUAA
rnacentral:rRNA from 1 species